CCACACCAUCAAAUCCUGCGCUGGUAUGCUGCUCCUUUCCUCUAUGUGUUACCGCGUGAAAUGUUCUAGCAAAAUGAAAUUCAGUGUAAAAAAGAAUAGGAUAUUCGUUUUUUUUCCCCCCCUAUGUAUAUAUAUGUGGGAAUUUGUAUAGUAUUGAGUUUGAUUGGAUGGCUAAUUUGCUUGUUAUGCAUAGUGGGAGAAAUAUGAGAAAGCAUUUUAGAAGCUUAGAAGCUAAAGAUAAGGCUGCCCACUUGAGGGUCUGUUAUGUUAGUUGUGUACACUAAGGCCAUUUUGUUCUGAGCUAUCAACAAAAUCAUCCGGAGCAGCACUGUUUUAAAACGCAGAAUCACAAGCGCAUUUAAGAUUUUCCUGGGUUCAUCAAUUUCCUAUGCACAUGGAGACAUUAAAGAAAUGAAGUUGUGGAUUGUUAAUUUCUUUUGAAUUAAUUCUACCCAAAUAUGUAAUUUAUUGUCACAAAGUGUUUUUGUGCCUUGAAGCGUCUUCUUAUCUUCUAAAUACUUCUAUAGGAUCCUUCUCUAACUUUACAAGGAUUCAGAAAAACGUUUACACUUUUUGAGAUGGUCCAACAUAAUUUGCUGAGUUAUUAGUAAAUCACUUAUUCUAACUCUAACAAUCUCUACUUUGGU
rnacentral:misc_RNA from 1 species